rnacentral:rRNA from 1 species
AACGAACGUUGGCGGCGUGGAUUAGGCAUGCAAGUCGAACGCGAAAGGGUAGCAAUACCCGAGUAAAGUGGCGAACGGGUGAGUAACGCGUAGGAAACCUGCCUUCGAGUGGGGGAGUAACAUUCCUAACGGGGUGCUAAUACCGCAUGAAACUGCGGGAUCGCAUGGUUCUGCAGUCAAAGGUGGCCUCUAUUUAUAAGCUACCGCUCAAAGAUGGUCCUGCGUCCCAUUAGCUAGUGGCGGGGUAACGGGCCCACCAAGGCAUCGAUGGGUAGCCGAUCUGAGAGGAUGACCGGCCACACUGGGACUGAGAUACGGCCCAGACUCCUACGGGAGGCAGCAGUCGGAGAGGCUUCGGCGAAUGGGGGAAACCCUGACCGAGCGACGCCGCGUGGAGGAUGAAGGCCC